rnacentral:rRNA from 1 species
UGCAGUCGAGCGGUAGCACAGAGAGCUUGCUCUCGGGUGACGAGCGGCGGACGGGUGAGUAAUGUCUGGGAAACUGCCUGAUGGAGGGGGAUAACUACUGGAAACGGUAGCUAAUACCGCAUAACGUCGCAAGACCAAAGUGGGGGACCUUCGGGCCUCAUGCCAUCAGAUGUGCCCAGAUGGGAUUAGCUGGUAGGUGGGGUAACGGCUCACCUAGGCGACGAUCCCUAGCUGGUCUGAGAGGAUGACCAGCCACACUGGAACUGAGACACGGUCCAGACUCCUACGGGAGGCAGCAGUGGGGAAUAUUGCACAAUGGGCGCAAGCCUGAUGCAGCCAUGCCGCGUGUGUGAAGAAGGCCUUCGGGUUGUAAAGCACUUUCAGCGGGGAGGAAGGCGGUGAGGUUAAUAACCUCAUCGAUUGACGUUACCCGCAGAAGAAGCACCGGCUAACUCCGUGCCAGCAGCCGCGGUAAUACGGAGGGUGCAAGCGUUAAUCGGAAUUACUGGGCGUAAAGCGCACGCAGGCGGUCUGUCAAGUCGGAUGUGAAAUCCCCGGGCUCAACCUGGGAACUGCAUUCGAAACUGGCAGGCUAGAGUCUUGUAGAGGGGGGUAGAAUUCCAGGUGUAGCGGUGAAAUGCGUAGAGAUCUGGAGGAAUACCGGUGGCGAAGGCGGCCCCCUGGACAAAGACUGACGCUCAGGUGCGAAAGCGUGGGGAGCAAACAGGAUUAGAUACCCUGGUAGUCCACGCUGUAAACGAUGUCGAUUUGGAGGUUGUGCCCUUGAGGCGUGGCUUCCGGAGCUAACGCGUUAAAUCGACCGCCUGGGGAGUACGGCCGCAAGGUUAAAACUCAAAUGAAUUGACGGGGGCCCGCACAAGCGGUGGAGCAUGUGGUUUAAUUCGAUGCAACGCGAAGAACCUUACCUGGUCUUGACAUCCACAGAACUUUCCAGAGAUGGAUUGGUGCCUUCGGGAACUGUGAGACAGGUGCUGCAUGGCUGUCGUCAGCUCGUGUUGUGAAAUGUUGGGUUAAGUCCCGCAACGAGCGCAACCCUUAUCCUUUGUUGCCAGCGGUUAGGCCGGGAACUCAAAGGAGACUGCCAGUGAUAAACUGGAGGAAGGUGGGGAUGACGUCAAGUCAUCAUGGCCCUUACGACCAGGGCUACACACGUGCUACAAUGGCAUAUACAAAGAGAAGCGACCUCGCGAGAGCAAGCGGACCUCAUAAAGUAUGUCGUAGUCCGGAUUGGAGUCUGCAACUCGACUCCAUGAAGUCGGAAUCGCUAGUAAUCGUAGAUCAGAAUGCUACGGUGAAUACGUUCCCGGGCCUUGUACACACCGCCCGUCACACCAUGGGAGUGGGUUGCAAAAGAAGUAGGUAGC